GGGCCUACGGGAGGCAGCAGUGGGGAAUAUUGCACAAUGGGGGAAACCCUGAUGCAGCAACGCCGCGUGAGUGAAGAAGUCAUUCGUGAUGUAAAGCUCUAUCAGCAGGGAAGAAAAUGACGGUACCUGAGUAAGAAGCCCCGGCUAACUACGUGCCAGCAGCCGCGGUAAUACGUAGGGGGCAAGCGUUAUCCGGAUUUACUGGGUGUAAAGGGGGCGCAGACGGCCAUGGCAAGCCCGGUGUGAAAGGCAGGGGCAUAACCCCUGGACUGCACUGGGAACUGUCAGGCUGGAGUGCCGGCGGG
rnacentral:rRNA from 1 species